rnacentral:rRNA from 1 species
GUGCCAGCCGCCGCGGUAAUACGUAGGUGGCAAGCGUUGUCCGGAAUUAUUGGGCGUAAAGCGCGCGCAGGCGGUUUCUUAAGUCUGGUGUGAAAGCCCCCGGCUCAACCGGGGAGGGUCAUGGAAACUGGGGAACUUGAGUGCAGAAGAGGAGAGUGGAAUUCCACGUGUAGCGGUGAAAUGCGUAGAGAUGUGGAGGAACACCAGUGGCGAAGGCGACUCUCUGGUCUGUAACUGACGCUGAGGCGCGAAAGCGUGGGGAGCGAACAGGAUUAGAUACCCGGGUAGUCCACGCCGUAAACGAUGAGUGCUAAGUGUUAGAGGGUUUCCGCCCUUUAGUGCUGCAGCAAACGCAUUAAGCACUCCGCCUGGGGAGUACGGUCGCAAGACUGAAACUCAAAUGAAUUGACGGGG